GUCGUCUGCUCUAAUCUGUGAAACUGAUGCAUGCGUGGAAGGAUUUGAGGGCCCAUGUUGAAAGCAUUAAGAAGACUCAUCUGCGUGAAUUGAUGAGCGACACGAAGAGAUGCCAGUCCAUGAUGGUUGAGUUUGAUGGGUUAUUGUUGGAUUACUCAAGGCAAUGUGCCAUUGUCGAUACAUUCAAUAAGCUCAACAAAUUAGCAGAG